CCUACGGGAGGCAGCAGUGGGGAAUAUUGCACAAUGGGGGAAACCCUGAUGCAGCGACGCCGCGUGAGUGAAGAAGUCCUUCGUUAUUUAAAGCUCUAUCAGCAGGGAAGAAAAUGACGGUACCUGAGUAAGAAGCCCCGGCUCACUACGUUCCAGCAGCCGCGGUAAUACGGAGGGGGCAAGCGUUAUCCGGAUUUACUGGGUGUAAAGGGAGCGUAGACGGCAGUGUAAGUCUGGAGUGAAAGGUGGGGGCUCAACCCCCGGACUGCUCUGGAAACUGUACGGCUGGAGUGCAGGAGAGGUAAGUGGAAUUCGUGGUGUAGCGGUGAAAUGCGUAGAUAUUAGGAGGAACACCAGUGGCGAAGGCGGCUUACUGGACUGUAACUGACGUUGAGGCUCGAAAGCGUGGGGAGCAAACAGGAUUAGAUACCCUUGUAGUC
rnacentral:rRNA from 1 species